AGAGUGAACGCUGGCGGCAGGCCUAAUACAUGCAAGUCGAACGGCAGCACAGCAGAGCUUGCUCUGUGGGUGGCGAGUGGCGGACGGGUGAGGAGUACAUGGGGAAUCUGCCCAGUCGUGGGGGAUAACGUAGGGAAACUUACGCUAAUACCGCAUGCGCCCUCCGGGGGAAAGCCGGGGACCUUCGGGCCUGGCGCGAUUGGAUGAGCCCAUGUCGGAUUAGCUAGUUGGCGGGGUAAAGCCCACCAAGGCGACGAUCCGUAGCUGGUCUGAGAGGAUGAUCAGCCACACUGGAACUGAGACACGGUCCAGACUCCGUACGGGAGGCAGCAGUAGGGAAUA
rnacentral:rRNA from 1 species